GAGAGAUGGCUCCCACGUCCAAGGAUGGCAGCAGGCGCGAAAAUUGUCCACUCUUUGUUGAGGAGACAGUUAUGAGGCGUGAUUGUAAGAGCGAAGAGUAAACAUCUUUGUGUAAUGCAACUAGAGGGCAAGUUUUGGUGCCAGCAGCCGCGGUAACUCCAACUCUAGAAGUGCCUAUUGUGGAUGCUGCAGUUAAAAAGUCCGUAGUCGUUGAUGCAAUUAAAAGGUGUAGAUCAAGUGCACCAAGUUUGUUAGUUGUGGCGGAGCGGACAGGGAGCAUGGUAUAGGUUGGCGAAGAAUGAAAUCUCAAGACCCAACCUGGACCAACUGAGGCGAAAGCGGUGCUCUUGUACGCGUCUGUGGAUCAAGGACGAAGGCUAGAGGAUCGAAAGUGAUUAGACACCGCUGUAGUUCUAGCAGUAAACUAUGCCGACAUUCUCUGUUGUUGAGACGGGGAGGGGAGAAAUCUUAGUUUUCGGGCUCUGGGGAUAGUACGCUUGCAAGAGUGAAACUUAAAGCGAAAUUGACGGAAGAUCACCACAAGGAGUGGAUUGUACUGCUUAAUUUGACUCAACACGGGAAAACUUACCAGGGCCAAGUCUCUCGUAGAUUGGCGACAUGAGAGGGGCAAGAGUGGUGCAUGGCCGUUGGAAAUUGAUGGGAUGACCUUUAGCUUAAGUGCUGUAACCAGUGAGAUCUUCUAGACAGGUGUCUUACUGACACAGGAAGGAGAAGGCUAUAACAGGUCCGUGAUGCCCUCAGAUGCCCUGGGCCGCAAGUGCAAUACAAUAUCCGUUUGAGCGACAUAAAUAUGCUUACGGAUGAGUAGGAUUAGCUCUUGUAAAUGAGCUAUGAAUGAGGAAUUCCUAGUAACUGUGUCUCAUCAAGGCACAGUGAAUGCGUCCCUGUUCUUUGUACACACCGCCCGUCACUAUUGCGGAUGGCAAUCAAGAUGAAGAGCCUAGGU
rnacentral:rRNA from 1 species